GGGUCAGUAGGUUGGUCGUGCCACCGGUACGUACUGGUCUCACUGAUUCCUCCUUCCUGAAGAACCGUAAUGCCAUUAAUUUGGUGUUGCGGGGAAACAGGACUGUUACUUUGAAAAAAUUAGAGUGUUUAAAGCAAGCUAACGCUUGAAUACAUUAGCAUGGAAUAAUGGAAUAAGACGAUCGAUCCUAUUUUGUUGGUUUCUAGGAUUGACGUA
rnacentral:rRNA from 1 species